UACGUAGGGUGCAAGCGUUGUCCGGAAUUAUUGGGCGUAAAGAGCUCGUAGGCGGUCUGUCGCGUCUGCUGUGAAAACCUAGGGCUUAACUCUGGGCGUGCAGUGGGUACGGGCAGGCUAGAGUGCGGUAGGGGAGACUGGAAUUCCUGGUGUAGCGGUGAAAUGCGCAGAUAUCAGGAGGAACACCGGUGGCGAAGGCGGGUCUCUGGGCCGUAACUGACGCUGAGGCGCGAAAGUGUGGG
rnacentral:rRNA from 1 species